UUUGCAUUUCAUCGUCGGAAAUGUGUCCUUCCUGAAACAAUAUUCCUUCUGCAUACUGUUUAAUCUGGUUUGACAUCUAGCCAACUUGAUUCCUACUGGUGACAAGCUGUCUAACAUCUUUUAAUCCAAUUAUGUGUUUAGAGUAGCCUUUUCCUGAUUUAUAUCUAAGUCAAUUUAAAGUACUUUGUCUUUGUGCUAUUUUUUCAACUCAUUGGUCAAUUGUAGAUGUCUUUCGUCAAUCAUUGUCUUGAAAAGUGCACUUCUGGUUU
rnacentral:lncRNA from 1 species